rfam:Triticum aestivum genome assembly, contig: Triticum_aestivum_CS42_TGACv1_scaffold_019041_1AS
UUAGUACUCCAACUGUCCCAAAAAGUUUGUGUUACAUUUGCUUAGAUAUGGAUGAAUGUAGACACGUUCUAGUGUUAGACACAUCCGAAUCUAGACAACUGUAAGACAAGCUUUUUGGGAUGGAGGGUUUAGUAUUUU